GACAGAGGGGGCAAGCGUUGCUCGGAAUUACUGGGCGUAAAGGGCGCGUAGGCGGCUUGGUCGAGUCCCGUGUGAAAUCCCUCGGCUCAACUGAGGAACUGCACGGGAAACUGCCUGGCUUGAGUUCGGGGAGAGGGAAGCGGAAUUCCGGGUGUAGCGGUGAAAUGCGUAGAUAUCCGGAGGAACACCGGUGGCGAAGGCGGCGGCUCGUGGGCUGGAACUGACGCUGAGGAGCGAAAGCGUGGGGAGCGAACAGG
rnacentral:rRNA from 1 species